rnacentral:snoRNA from 1 species
GCCUCUGAUGAUGAUCAAUAAAUAACUUUCGUUCUUCCGAGAUGCUCCAUGCGGAAAAAAUUUGGAGACCUGAACUGAAGAGGA